AUGGAGAGUUUGAUCCUGGCUCAGGACGAACGCUGGCGGCGGGCUUAACACAUGCAAGUCGAAGGAGAAGGAAGGAGCUUGCUCUUUCUGGAGACUGGCGGACGGGUGAGUAACGCGUAGCUAACCUGCCUUUAACUGGGGGAUAACAUUCCGAAAGGGAUGCUAAUACCGCAUAAAGCAACUGGAUCGCAUGAUCCUGGUUGUUAAAAAUUUCGAUUGGUUAAAGAGGGGGCUGCGUGCUAUUAGUUAGUUGGUGAGGUAACGGCUCACCAAGGCGAUGAUAGCUAGGGGGUCUGAGAGGAUGAUCCCCCACACUGGGACUGAGACACGGCCCAGACUCCUACGGGAGGCAGCAGUGGGGAAUAUUGGACAACGG
rnacentral:rRNA from 12 species